UUAACUCAGCAUUAGUUUACUUAUAUUUAAGUAAGAAUUCAUUUAGGUAUACGUUCAAUGUUUCCAAUGAUUAGCAGUUAAUCAACUAAACCCAGAGAUAAUUCCUGAGGCAUGUUUAAAGAGUUUUGUAUUUCAUCAAGUAAGUGCUGAUUCACAAAGAUUUUAUAUUUAAGAAAAUCUGAGCAUCAUUCAAAAUAACUGUUAACAUGUUUGUCAACUAAACAUGUUUUGUCAAUGUUUUAAACUUUAUAGAAAUAUUUUUUAUUUUUUAUUAAUGACCAAGUAUAAAGAACAAUGCAUAGUGUGAAAACGCGGAUUAUAUAAAAGUAUAUAAUAAAGUGCGAGCAGAGGAUCAAUCAAACUUGGGCUGGAAUGAUUGUAGUGCAUCCAAUGGAUCUUGGAAAUCGUAGUUUACAUCUACAGCAGCAUAUGCUACAGCAGUGACAACGCCAAAGAAAAGGACUACAUUUCCCAGAAUGCACCUGCACCCACUCAUCUGCCCCUUCAGGUGCGACCGCUUCACCUAUGGGCUUGACGGGAAAAUUCAAAAUCGCGAACCGUUACAGCCUGGACUACUCUUUGUUUGCUUGCACAUCAACAGUAAGAGGUCAUGUACACUACACUGUGGUCAACUUUGUGGACGCUGAAGAGGUUUCUGGGUAAAGAUGAUAGAAAUAUAAUGAGGUAACAGUGGAAGCUAAAACAUCAGACUGAUCCAGACACUGAAGAAAUUGAUGUCACUGCAAUCUGGCCAAAAUGA